rnacentral:lncRNA from 1 species
AUGAUGGGGUUUGAUUUAGGCUCAAGAAGUCGGGACUCUGCGUUGAGUCGAGCUCCCAGGACCGCCCACGGUUAUCUCUGCCUACGUGCACACGUGACCCGUGUGUGCUCCACACACGCACAGGAGUUGUUUCAUUUCCUUCUUGCAUUUGUGUGGGUGUGUUUAAUUACACUUUACAUCAAUGUGAGAAGCAGCGGGGCAGCGUACAUUUGCCAUCAUCUCUACUUCCCGGCUCUGGGGUUCUGGGUGAGCUCUUCGUCCCAUCUGGGCCCGAUUUCUUCAUCUGUAAGUCUACGAAGAAGCUCCGUAUUCCAUGUCGUUUCCUCCUCGAUGCAAUCCCGGGAGUUGGCAAAGCAGCGGGAAGCGGUCCUACCGCGUCUGUGAAGAACCGAAAGAGCACUUUCUGAGUGGUACCUGCUUUCCUUUUUAAAUAUUAUUUAUGAUGAUGUAUAAACGUUUAUUUUUUUUAAAAAGCUAAAAAGCGUUCAUAAUCCUACAAAUAUAGGAGAAUUUUUGUCUGUUUUCUAUUUUGUCUUUCGGUCCUCUUGCGGAUGCCUGUGUUAGUUCUCACCAGGAUCAGUUGGAGAAGCAGCUGUCAGAGCCGUCUGUGAGCCUCCUGGGGCGGCCGUCACAAAGGGCCAUAAAUUGGGUGGUUAUGUAAAAUGAGGGAAAUUCAGCGUCUCGCUAGUUCUAGAGGCCAGAGCUUCAAGAGGAAGGCGCAGCAGGGCUGGCUCCUUCCGCCGGCUCUGAGGGAGGCUCGGUUCCUGCCUCUUCCAGCUUCUGGGGGUGGUUGGCUGUGCCCCUUUGCCUGGAGACACAAAGAUCACUCCAGGCUCUGCCUCUGUGUGCCUGUGUCCAAACUUCCACCUUCUUAUAAGGACGCCAGGCAUUGGAUCAGGGCCCACCCCAAUCCAUUGGGACCUCAUCUUACGUUGAUGACAUCUGCAGAGACUCUAUUUCCAAAUAGGUCACACUCACACUCCCGGGGGUAGGGCUUUGACAUAGCUUUGGGGGGGGACACCAUUUGCCCCACAAUGCUGUCUUCUGAGAUCCUUACCUGUGAAGGUGAUGGGCUGACAGCAUUUACUAGAAGUAAAUAGGAGAGCUCCGGAGGGUCACCUGACCUUCUUAAAUAAAGAGGAAAUCCUAAGAAGGGCGGAGCUGACC